GUUUUUGUCCUACUCUUCACCCUGUUUGCGCUAACAGCCAUCAUAGUCUUCACUCCCAUAGUCAUACUCUCUCUGAGCUGGGCUGCAGUCUGCUUAUUUGAUGCCCUCUUGUGGCUCAGAUUAUUAGUAUGCUGUUUGCCAUGAAAAACAGGAGAUGCAUUGAGAUUCCCCCUGUAGUCACAUCUGAAUAGUGACCCUUCCUAACCUGGAACUCCAAAGACCAUGGAAACGUGUUCUUGUUGAACAUAACUCUGCCUUGUCUUGGAACAAUAUAAGGGUUUCUCAGUGCCUUACAACUGUGAUACUAAAACUAGCUUAUUUAGUUAUUCUGAAGGUUUUUUCCUAAAAUUAAAUGUUAUCUCUCAGACAAGAUGUAUGUCCUGUUUCUUAAAAAAUGUAGGGAAUCCAUAGUAAAGAG